UCGAGAAUCUUCCGCAAUGGACGCAAGUCUGACGGAGCGACGCCGCGUGAUUGAUGAAGCCCUUUGGGGUGUAAAGAUCUUUUAUAAGGGAAGAAGUUUAUUGACGGUACCUUAUGAAUAAGGGGCUCCCAAUCUCGUGCCAGCAGGAGCGGUAAUACGAGAGCCCCAAGCAUUAUCCGGAAUUAUUGGGCGUAAAGGGUGCGUAGGUGGCAUUAUUAGUCUUUUGUGAAAUAUCUUCGCUCAACGAAGA
rnacentral:rRNA from 1 species